UUCUAUUGUUCUCAUUGUGGUAGGGUUGGUAAGAUUUUAGCGUUGUUGCAACCACACACUUAAACUUAGGCACAUGCUAGUCAACCCUCGGAUAAUAUAGGUGAUCAGGCUAUAUCUUCCCAGUUUUGACCAUAUGUCUCUAAGCCCACUUGUGUUGCCCAACAAUCGUAAUUCUUUUGUACUGUCCUAGUGACACUGAUUUUAGUAUGAAUGCAGCACGUAUACUUACUUAAAUAUUUUACUAUUUAAAGUAUAAACUCUUGGUCAGAGUAUUUUUAAUCCCUUAUGUAUUUAUAGUUAGUAUAUCUUUUAUGGGUUGAUAUACUUAAUUCACUAUAAACAAUGCUCUGAUACCAAUCUGUCACACCCCAAAACCAAGAACGGCGGAAACGUUCUGGGGCGGAGGACGUCAUGUAUAGUAUCAACAACAAUGUAAAGUAGUAAACAAGCAACAACAUCAUCCAUUGCAUUAAUAAAAUAAUUAUUAUACAAUUGUAUUCUGUCAAAUUUUGAUAAACACUAAAGCAUAAAUCAAAAUGAAAGAUAAGUCUUGAAUAAGCUUCAUCUUCCUUUCUCCUUGCAUCGGUACCUGUCUAUGAUGACCUGAGGAUACAAGUAAUUUUGAAAGCGAGUAUCAGCUAUAAAGCUGGUGAGAUCAUAAGUAUUAAUGUGUCUUAAUUUGUGAAAACUUAUAAUUUCUAAGACUUGACAUUGCUUUGAAAGAAAGCUAGUUUAAGUAUGAAAAUGUUUGUAACUCAACUGAAAAUGUUUGAAAAUCCCUAGAAAUCCCUAUGAUUCCUAUUAGUAACAAAAAGGAGUCUUCUACCAAGACUUAACUGUUAUGUGUGUAGUCUUCUACCAAGACCUAACUGUUCUGAAUGUAGUCUUCUACCAAGACCUAACUGUUCUGAAUGUAGUCUUCUACCAAGACCUAACUGUUCUGAAUGUAGUCUUCUACCAAGACCUAACUGUUCUGAAUGUAGUCUUCUACCAAGACCUAACUGUUCUGAAUGUAGUCUUCUACCAAGACCUAACUGUUCUGAAUGUAGUCUUCUACCAAGACCUAACUGUUCUGAAUGUAGUCUUCUACCAAGACCUGACUGUUCUGAAUAUUACCCUUUUGUACUAGGGU
rnacentral:lncRNA from 1 species